rnacentral:tRNA from 1 species
GCGUGCAGUCGGAAAGCGCCAAAUUCAUACUACGAAUCUGAGGGUCGGACGUUCGAAUCGUUCCGGGCGCGCCA